rnacentral:tRNA from 1 species
UAGCUCAGAGGUAGAGCCUUUGCUUAGCAGGCAUGAAGCCCUGGGUUUGAUUCCCAG